GACAGAGGGGGCAAGCGUUGCUCGGAAUCACUGGGCGUAAAGGGCGCGUAGGCGGGAUGGCAAGUCAGUCGUGAAAUCUCUCGGCUCAACCGAGAAACGUCGGCUGAUACUGCCGUUCUUGAGGGAUGCAGAGGAGACUGGAAUUCCCGGUGUAGCGGUGAAAUGUGUAGAGAUCGGGAGGAACACCGGUGGCGAAGGCGGCUCACUGGUCCGGUACUGACGCUGAGGUGCGAAAGCGUGGGGAGCAAACAGG
rnacentral:rRNA from 1 species